GACUACUUGGGAGGGAAGACAGCUGGACAGUAUGGUCACAGCAGCAUCCUCCUCUGUUUUCUUUCCUAG
ensembl:miRNA